rnacentral:rRNA from 1 species
AUUGAACGCUGGCGGCAUGCCUUACACAUGCAAGUCGAACGGUAACAGGUCUUCGGAUGCUGACGAGUGGCGAACGGGUGAGUAAUACAUCGGAACGUGCCUAGUAGUGGGGGAUAACUACGCGAAAGAGUGGCUAAUACCGCAUGAGAUCUAAGGAUGCAAGCAGGGGAUCGCAGGACCUUGUGCUACUACAGCGGCCGAUGGCAGAUUAGGUAGUUGGUGGGAUAAAAGCUUACCAAGCCGACGAUCUGUAGCUGGUCUGAGAGGACGAUCAGCCACACUGGGACUGAGACACGGCCCAGACUCCUACGGGAGGCAGCAGUGGGGAAUUUUGGACAAUGGGCGAAAGCCUGAUCCAGCAAUGCCGCGUGCAGGAUGAAGGCCUUCGGGUUGUAAACUGCUUUUGUACGGAACGAAAAGCCCCGGGUUAAUACCCUGGGGUCAUGACGGUACCGUAAGAAUAAGCACCGGCUAACUACGUGCCAGCCGCCGCCGUAA